UGCAGUUGUUUAAUUCCAUUCCAAAAUCAUCCCUUAGAAAAACAAGCAAGCUAUUGGAAACUGUGCUUAUCCUUGUAUGUACAACAACUGUUACUGUCUAUUUGCCGUAUUUCUUUCCUUGCACUCCAGUCAUGAGCCUGAGAAACUCCCAGCUGAGAAACAACUCAGAAAUCAUAGAGCAAUUCAAGAGGGAAAUUUCAGAAUAUAAUUGUUCGCCAAGCACAUCAUGGAUAGGACCAGAUGGAGUCAGAUAUUCUAAUCAAACCUUUAAUCAAGCUGCUGCUCUUCUAGUUGAAAAUGGAAAGCAAGGAAUCACGUAUCUUUUUAAACGUGGGACUCCUGGUGAAUUUGGAUACGCAUCUCUCUGCACUACUUUGGCAUUUUAUUUCAUCCUCAGCUGUUGGACUGCAGGUUCUGCUGUUGCGAGUGGCCUGGUUAUUCCUAUGCUGUACACAGGAGCCCUGUAUGGCAGGAUAAUUGGUUUGAUCCUUGUUUCCAUUUUUGAUGUUCAAACUAAUAAAUACGGAGCAUGGAUUGAUCCAGGUCUGUUUGCUGCCAUUGGAGCUGCCUCCUUUUUCAGCGGUGUGUCAAGACUAACCAUCUCCC
rnacentral:lncRNA from 1 species